rnacentral:rRNA from 1 species
CCUACGGGUGGCAGCAGUGGGGAAUAUUGCACAAUGGGCGAAAGCCUGAUGCAGCAACGCCGCGUGAGCGAUGAAGGCCUUCGGGUCGUAAAGCUCUGUCCUCAAGGAAGAUAAUAACGGUACUUGAGGGGGAACCCCCGGCAAACUACUUGUCAGCAGCCGCGGUAAUACUGCGGGGCCUAGCGUUAUCGGGAAUGACUGGGCGUAACGGUUUCGUGGGUGGUUUUUUAAAUAACAGGUGAAAGGCUAGGUCUAAACCGGAGGUAGCAUUUGAAACUGGCGAACUUGAGUGCAGGAGAGGAGAGUGGAAUUCCAAGUGUAGCGGUGAAAUGCGCAGAGAUAAGGAGGAACACCAGUGGCGAAGGCGGCUUUCUGGUCUGUAACUGACACUGAGGUGCGAAAGCGUGGGGAGCAAACAGGAUUAGAUACCCGUGUAGUC